rnacentral:tRNA from 1 species
UUGUAGCCCAGUUGGAUAGAGCACAGGAUUCCUAAUCCUGGGGUCGUGGGUUCGACUCCCGCCA